rnacentral:siRNA from 1 species
CCACUCAUGACCACUUAUCCUAC